AGAGUUUGAUCCUGGCUCAGGAUGAACGCUAGCGGCAGGCUUAAUACAUGCAAGUCGAGGGGUAACAUGGGUAGCAAUACCUGAUGACGACCGGCAAACGGGUGCGGAACACGUACGCAACCUUCCCAUAACUGGUGAAUAGCCCUCCGAAAGGAGGAUUAAUACACCGUAACAUAAUGAAGUGGCAUCACUUUAUUAUUAUAGGCUUCGGCCGGUUUUGGAUGGGCGUGCGCCUGAUUAGGUAGUUGGCGGGGUAACGGCCCACCAAGCCUGCGAUCAGUAACUGGUGGGGAGAGCACGGACCAGUCACCACGGGGCACCUGAAACCACGGGGCCCGAACUCCCUACGGGGAGGGCAGCAGUUAAGGAAUUAUUGGGUCAAUGGAACGAAAGUCUUGAAACCAGCCCUGGCCGCGUGAAAGGAAUGAAGGGCCCCCUGGGUUGGAAACUUUCUUUUAUCUGGGAACAAAAAAGGGGAUUCUUGCUUCCCUUGGCGGGUACCCGAAGAAAAAAACACCGGCUAAAUCCCUGCCCGCAGCCGCGGUAAUACCGGAGGGUGGCAGCGGUAUCCCGGAUUUUCUGGGGUUUAAAGGUGCGGAAGGGGGGUCUCUUAAGUCACUGGGUGAAAUCUCCCCAACUUAUCUCGGAAACUGGCCCUGGUACCAUAGAUCUUGAAUAUCCCGGAGGUGAGCGAAUCUUCGUCCUAUGUGAUCGGUAGGAAUGCUAUCUCACAUUGGCUUUAGGCACACAGUGUAGUCCCGUCCUAUGACGGUAUAUGUCACUCGGGACGAGAACGUUGGGGAAUAUAGCGGAUUAGCUCCCGUGUGUAGUCCACCCCUAAGGCGGAUGGUAUCUUCGAACAUCAGGCGAUACUCUUGUUGGUGUGGGAAGCAGAAACGCUAUUAAUGUUCUCCCCCGUGGGAUGUUCCGAUCAGCAAGGAUUGAAACCUCAGAGGAUUUGACGGGGGGUCCGACACAAGGCGGUGGAAGCAUGUGGUUUUAAUUCGAUGAUCCGCGAGGACCCUCACCUUGGGCUAGAAUUUGGGGGGAAAUAUGGGGAAAAAGCUCAAUAGUAUACCAAAUAUCCCCCCGAUAAGGGUGCGCCAGGGCUUUCGUUCAGCCUCGUGCCCGUGAGGUUGUUGGGUUUAAGUCCCCCCAACGGAGCCCAACCCCCUUAUCCAUAUAGUUGCCCUUCAGGUAAAUGCUGGGGAAUUUUAGUUGAAAACUGCCGCCCGUUAAGGGCGUGAGGGAAGGAAGGGGGAUGAUGGUCAAGUCAUCAUGGCCUUUAUGCCCCAGGGCUACCACAACGUGCUACAAUGGCAGAUACAAAGGGCAGCUACCUGGUAACAGGAUGCUAAUCUCAAAAAAUCUGUCCCAGUUCGGAUUGGGGUCUGCAACUCGACCCCAUGAAGCUGGAAUCGCUAGUAAUCGUAUAUCAGCAAUGAUACGGUGAAUACGUUCCCGGACCUUGUACACACCGCCCGUCAAGCCAUGGAAGCUGGGUGUACCUAAAGUCGGUAACCGCAAGGAGCCGCCUAGGGUAAAACUAGUAACUGGGGCUAAGUCGUAACAAGGUAACC
rnacentral:rRNA from 1 species